rnacentral:lncRNA from 10 species
UGGGCAGGGCCAGGACACACAGGGUCCUGAAGGCCAUGGUAAAAGAUGCUCAGGACUAUUUUUCGCUGAAAUGUGGACCUGAGAACUUCAUGUAUUGAUAGAACACGAAUACACCUUAAAUCACCAGCAAACCCAUUUGAAGGGCCCAGGAGAUAUGGCUGGACAGUGACUACACCCGGAAGUGUAACCGUCUCCAUGGGGCAUGUCCGGAUCGAGGAGGUGGCCUGCCUGUCCCUUGGCUGGCUGGGUACUGAUGUGGGGGAGGUUGGGCAGAGGUAGAGACAAAGAAGGAAAUGUGGAAAUGUGAUGGUUCCUGUCCACACCUGGGGUGGGAGGUGGGGUGGGGGAUGGAGCAGCUGGAUUCUGUUCAUCCCCAAACUCCCCUUUAUCCUGGCUGGAGGCUAAGGCAGCCUGGACUAUCCUGAUGCCCUUCCCUGUACGACCUUGAAAAUAAGGACUCGGCCGGCCGCGAUGGCUCAUGCCCGUAAUUCCAGCACUUUGGGAGGACCAGGGGGGCAGAUCACCUGAGAUCGAGAGUUGGAGACCAGCCUGGCCAACGUGGUGAAACCCCAUCUGUACUAAAAAUACAAAACUUAGCUGGGCGUGGUGGCGGACGCUUGUAAUCCCAGCUACUUGGGAGGCUGAGGCAGGAGAAUUGCUUGAACCCAGGAGCUGGAGGUUGCAAUGAGCAGAGAUCGAGCCAUUGCACUCCAGCUUGGGCGACAAGAGCGAAACUCCAUCUCAAAAAAAAAGAAAGAAAGAAAGAAAGAAAAUAAACACUCUGUUGUGUCUCAACCUCACUGAUCUCCAGAAAAAGAGCUCAGUAAAUAUGGAGUGAUGGAGUCGAACAUCUCUGAGCAUCUUGGGGGCCUCAGUUUCCAAAGCCAUAAAAUGGACUCUCCGUGGAAUAAUCGUGAAGGGCCAGUGCCCAACUUCCUCUGCUUAGAGGGAGCAAGUACAUGUGACAUGGGAGUGUCACCUCAAUGCCAGAAGCCAUUUGUCACCGAGGCUGCUUGGUGUAUGUGGCUGGCAGACCUGGGUCACAUCUUCGGACUGCAGCUCGCUGGCUAUGUGUCCAGUCCUUUCGACCACACUGGGGAUCCACCUCCUGAUCUGCAAAGUGGGGAUAGGGUUGUCUCUAGGCCAUUCACACUUAAUGCACAGAAAGGGCUUCACACAUCCUGAGUGCUCGGUAGGUGAGCCUGGGGAGGCCCAGAGACAUCAAGGCACUUGCCCAAAGGCACCCAGCAGAGCCUGGGUCUCCUGGAAUCUCUGUCUCCAACGCCUGUGCUGUGAUCUCUUGUUUGGGACUCAUGGGAAUGCUGGGUGGAGAGGCGGGAAUACGGUGGCAGCCAGCUAAGGCUCAGAGUUAGAUUGGCCCGAGUUUGAGUUCCACCUUGGCCCUGUGUAAUCCUGGGAAUGUCAUACCUUGCCCCAUCACCUGGGCCUCUCAUCUUGAACUGGGAAUAAUGGAAUCAGAACCAACCUGCUGGGGUCAUUCUGCAAGGCAAACAGGUCAGUGUCCUCCAGGCUGUUUCUGGGCCCAUAGGAAUUGGCCAAAAUACAUCUUACCAUUGGGGAUUAGCCUGUGUGGCUGACAGACCUGGGUCACAGUGAAUCAAUCUCCAGUGAAUUAGCAUCCAUCUGUGUCCAUGUCACAGAUGAGAAAACGGGUUCGUAGAAGAAAAGCAACCUCCAAGGUCACAAAUAAAUGAACUGUUUGAAUCCAAAGUGAGCCUUACUACAUCCCAGCCAUAAUUGUAUUAGUUGGUAAUAUAAUAAUAA